UACAGAGGUCUCAAGCGUUGUUCGGAUUCAUUGGGCGUAAAGGGUGCGUAGGUGGCGCUGUAAGUCGGGUGUGAAAUUUCGGGCUUAACCCGGAAAGGUCAAUCGAUACUGCGGGGCUAGAGUGCAGAAGGGGCAACUGGAAUUCUCGGUGUAGCGGUGAAAUGCGUAGAUAUCGAGAGGAACACCUGCGGCGAAGGCGGGUUGCUGGGCUGAUACUGACGCUGAGGCGCGAAAGCCAGGGGAGCGAACGGG
rnacentral:rRNA from 1 species